UUGUUUUUGGGACGCCCAAAAACAAAAAUGACAGUACAUUUCAUAGUUGAAAUAUCGUGAUUUUCGAAAGCUUAUUAUUCGAAGGGUAUGCAUGUAAAUGUCUUCAAACUUUGUAUACUUACUAAUUUUGAGGUGGUCUUUUUAGUGAUUCGGUUCAUUUCUUAAUUUGGGCACUUUUUAACAUUCGUCCCCAGUUCUCUCCGCAUCAACUUCGGAAUGGCUAAUUCCAACUUCCAUAGACCAUAGUGCACACGAAACCAAACAGCUUCAAAUCGAGGCUGGACAAUGUAAUUCAUUGUAAAAAGUAUAAGCAACCAAAUUCUGAAAGUGUUCAUGUAUGCUACUGAAGGACAAUUCAAUUUUUGAACAAAAUUUUUUGACUGAGAAUUUUUUUCUUGUG